rnacentral:rRNA from 1 species
GUAACGCGAGAAUCUGGCUUCAGGUCUGGGACAACAGUUGGAAACGACUGCUAAUACCGGAUGUGCCGAGAGGUGAAAGCUUGCUGCCUGAAGAUGAGCUUGCGUCUGUUAGCUAGUGGUGGGGUAAGAGCCUACCAAGGCGACGAUCAGUAGCUGUCUGAGAGGAUGAUCAGCCACACUGGGACUGAGACACGGCCCAGACUCCUACGGGAGGCAGCAGUGGGGAAUUUUCCGCAAUGGGCGAAAGCCUGACGGAGCAAUACCGCGUGAGGGAGGAAGGCUCUUGGGUUGUAAACCUCUUUUCUCAGGGAAGAAAAAAAUGACGGUACCUGAGGAAUAAGCAUCGGCUAACUCCGUGCCAGCAGCCGCGGUAAUACGGAGGAUGCAAGCGUUAUCCGGAAUGAUUGGGCGUAAAGGGUCCGCAGGUGGCUGUGUAAGUCUGCUGUUAAAGAGUCAUGCUCAACAUGAUAAGGGCAGUGGAAACUACAUAGCUAGAGUGCGUUCGGGGCAGAGGGAAUUCCUGGUGUAGCGGUGAAAUGCGUAGAUAUCAGGAAGAACACCGGUGGCGAAAGCGUGUGCUA